rnacentral:rRNA from 1 species
GACGAACGCUGGCGGCGUGCUUAACACAUGCAAGUCGAGCGGAAAGGCCCUUUCGGGGGUACUCGAGCGGCGAACGGGUGAGUAACACGUGAGUAAUCUGCCCCUGGCUUUGGGAUAGCCACCGGAAACGGUGAUUAAUACCGGAUACGACCACUUCUCGCAUGGGAUGGUGGUGGAAAGUUUUUCGGCCAGGGAUGUGCUCGCGGCCUAUCAGCUUGAUGGUGAGGUAAUGGCUCACCAUGGCUUCGACGGGUAGCCGGCCUGAGAGGGUGACCGGUCACACUGUGACUGAGACACGGCCCAGACUCCUACGGGAGGCAGCAGUGGGGAAUAUUGGACAAUGGGCGGAAGCCUGAGCCAGCAACGCCGCGUGAGGGAUGACGGCCUUCGGGUUGUAAACCUCUUUCAGCAGGGACGAAGCGCAAGUGACGGUACCUGCAGAAGAAGCACCGGCCAACUACGUGCCAGCCGCCGCUGUAA